AUAAAAAUUGAGGUCCAUAGUGAGUCGGCCUUCAUGUGAAAUAUAUUCGAAGCCACGGGGCGCAAUGUGUUAAUAGUCUCCACUUGUGACACACCACCAAAACAAUGCCCUGACAGCAAGAACCCUCCUCUCUGCAAAGCCCACCCUGAACAGUGGACAAGGUUUACGGCACGGAUGCUGUGGCUUGCGUGCCACUAGGCACAUGAACACAUACCGCCGACAACACCCAAAAAUAACCAACGAGUCGGCUUGCUGUGGAGCUAACGUGGCUAUCGUAAGUGCUGACUGUCCUACUAGGGGGUUUAGUAGGCGUAUGUUUGACGCAAGGCUGCGGUACUAGUUUACAACCCCGCCUGGAUCCGUCCGGGUCGGGGUCUGCUACCGCCCGCAGGGACAACCACCACGACACCCCCAAACUGCUGAGCCGGAGAGGAGACCAACUACCGCGGAGUGGAUUUCGCCCGGAUUGGAUUUCCUCAAAACAUCACUUCACAACAUGGCACCUGCGUCGGGACUUCGCGACGUGCGUGAGUGGAAAUGACAUCAUCACGUCGGGGACACGUUUACGUUCCAAAUAAAGAAAACAAGGAAGUAGACGAUUUGAUUAAUGAAAUAAUACUUCUGAAGCGGUGAUUUAUUUCAAAAUUGGUUUAUUUGCUUCCGUAUAUUUCAAGCACCGUCAUAUUCCUAUUUUAUAUUAAUGUCAUUAAAAAUGAUAAAAGUUCAGAUUUGUCUUUAUGUACAAGCUGUCAGCUAAACAACAAAACAAAAAUCAAUGCCAAGCGAACAAGAAACAAAUCAUACAAAAUAAAAUAAAACAAACAUCCCUACACAUAACUAAGAGUUGGAGAUGUAAAAUCACGUUCUUGGGCGUGCGCACACCAUGCCAAAACCCAUGCCUUUGUGACAUCACAAGUGGCAUGCAGGCUGGGCAGAUCGACUCCAACCUGGCCAGUAGAGACAGUCCACCAAUCCUAUCACAAAAGGGGUCGAUAUUUGGCUCGUCAAUGCGCCACCUGGUGGUUAAACAGGGGCCUUUUAAUUGGUUAGUGGAGAGCAGGAAAACGCGUUGUGGUGGGAGAGCUGCCCACAGACCACUGUGUCGGGACAAACUAUUAGCUUGAGGAAAUGGCAGCAGGUCAUGGCGCCAAAUAGACCCACACACUAAUUACACAUUAAUAACAUCCAGGCACACACACACACACACACACACACACACACACACACACACACACACACACACACACACACACACACACA